rnacentral:rRNA from 1 species
GUGCCAGCAGCCGCGGUAAUACGUAGGUGGCAAGCGUUAUCCGGAAUUAUUGGGCGUAAAGCGCGCGUAGGCGGUUUUUUAAGUCUGAUGUGAAAGCCCACGGCCCAACCGUGGAGGGUCAUUGGAAACUGGAAAACUUGAGUGCAGAAGAGGAAAGUGGAAUUCCAUGUGUAGCGGUGAAAUGCGCAGAGAUAUGGAGGAACAACAGUGGCGAAGGCGACUUUCUAGUCUGUAACUGACGCUGAUGUGCGAAAGCGUGGGGAUCAAAC